CUUUCUGGAUCAUUACUGACACUGAGGAACGAAAGCAUGGGUAGCGAAGAGGAUUAGAUACCCUCGUAGUCCAUGCCGUAAACGAUGUGUGUUAGACGUUGGAAAUUUUAUUUUCAGUGUCGCAGCGAAAGCGAUAAACACACCGCCUGGGGAGUACGACCGCAAGGUUAAAACUCAAAUGAAUUGACGGGGACCCGCACAAGUAGUGGAGCAUGUGGUUUAAUUCGAAGAUACGCGCAGAACCUUACCAACACUUGACAUGUUCGUCGCGACUUUAAGAGAUUAAAGUUUUCGGUUCGGCCGGACGAAACACAGGUGCUGCAUGGCUGUCGUCAGCUCGUGUCGUGAGAUGUUGGGUUAAGUCCCGCAACGAGCGCAACCCUCACUUUUAGUUGCCAUCAUUAAGUUGGGCACUCUGAAAGAACUGCCAGUGAUAAGCUGGAGGAAGGUGGGGAUGACGUCAAGUCCUCAUGGCCCUUACGUGUUGGGCUACACACGUGCUACAAUGGUAUUUACAACAGGAAGCAAGACGGCGACGUUAAGCAAAUCCUUAAAAAAUACCUCAGUUCGGAUUGCACUCUGCAACUCGAGUGCAUGAAGCUGGAAUUACUAGUAAUCGUGGAUCAGCGUGCCACGGUGAAUGCGUUCCCGGGUCUUGUACACACCGCCCGUCACACCAUGGGAGUUGGUUCUACCUUAAGGCAAGGUUUUAAACCCUUGACCACGGUAUAGUCAGCGACUGGGGUGAAGUCGUAACAAGGUAGCCGUAGGGGAACCUGCGGCUG
rnacentral:rRNA from 1 species